rnacentral:rRNA from 1 species
AUUGAACGCUGGCGGAAUGCUUUACACAUGCAAGUCGAACGGCAGCACGGACUUCGGUCUGGUGGCGAGUGGCGAACGGGUGAGUAAUACAUCGGAACGUGCCCAGUCGUGGGGGAUAACGUAGCGAAAGCUACGCUAAUACCGCAUACGAUCUAAGGAUGAAAGUGGGGGAUCGCAAGACCUCGCGCGAUUGGAGCGGCAGAUGGCAGAUUAGGGAGUUGGUGGGGUAAAGGCUCACCAAGCCGACGAUCUGUAGCGGGUCUGAGAGGACGACCAGCAACACUGGGACUGAGACACGGCCCAGACUCCUACGGGAGGCAGCAGUGGGGAAUUUUGGACAAUGGGCGCAAGCCUGAUCCAGCCAUUCCGCGUGCAGGAUGAAGGCCCUCGGGUUGUAAACUGCUUUUGUACGGAACGAAAAGGCUCUGGUUAAUACCUGGGGCUCAUGACGGUACCGUAAGAAUAAGCACCGGCUAACUACGUGCCAGCCGCCGCCGUAA